GCUGAAGGAGAGUGACUUACCCAAAGUCACACACCUAGGAACUGGAAGGACUGAGGCCUUCUGGGUCCAUGCAUUCUACCUGUGGCUGCUGCCUCUCUUGGCCAUCCCAGAGCAUCAUGUGAUGCUGUGGUAUAACAACAGCAGCGACAACAACAAGAAAUCAAUGUUGUCUCUUAACCCUGUCCUGAUGACCUUAUAUAUUCUUGCAAGCAACCUGUAAUGUGCUCCAGUUGCUUUCCUUUUUUGUCUCCUCACCCCAUCAGUCAGGACCGGCUGUAGGAGUUUAGGAGGACAUAUGUGUCUCAAAGUAUUCCAAGGACUCUAGCACUGUGUGGAAAAUAGAUCCUGCAGCUGGGCUUCCUGCAGCUCAAGAAAGAGAUUUCAUGCCAAAG
rnacentral:lncRNA from 1 species